GUUCUCUUCCCUGGGCCGGGGGAGUGAGCUAUAAUAAGGGAGCCUAAGAACACACUGGAAGCCCACAAGCUGGAACACACAGGUUAGCACCGCCUGGCUGACCUGACUCACAGACACGCUGCUUUGCAGAUCAGAAACUAAGUCUGAUGUACCCUCGGGUCCAAGCCUGCCCCCCACAUUUUCCACGAGGCCUUGCGGCUCGUGCGGGUGGAUCCCAUGUAGCAGCCUAUAUGGGAGACAGUGAGCGCUGUGAUUAUUACAAGGGGGCACGGGCUGUAGUCGUGCACAGCUUCCUGGUGGUUGACUCAGAGCCGUGGGACCCUGCAGUCAAGGAUUCUGUACCCCAAGAAUGCCUCCUCCUCGCACAUCCCAUCUCCUGCCGGCCCUUGACCGCCUGGAGGGCUCAUCUCUGGAACUCGGAGUCUGAUGAGGAGAGUGACUGAGCCCAGCAAGUGCUGGAGACCAAGAGCCCCUGCCUUCGUGAGCUCUGGCCUUUGCCCCUCCGCCUGCAGCAUCCAAACACAUUCUGACUCUGAAGCAGUGAGUGCGGGGCCCUCAGCCCUGUCCCACCAACCUCCAAAAGCCCCAGGCUGGGACCAGGACAGGAACCCCAGCUUCUCAGCAGCAUCAAGGCACUGUCUGUUCAAGAAAGUUGGGCCAUUUUCAGAAACUAAAGACCAAACUGAAGAACUCUGUAGGCUUCCUCCUCCUCUGCAUACCUGAACCUAAAAAACAAACGACAAGCAAACAAUGCUCUACAUUUGUAAAACUUGAAAUCGUAUUUAUUAUAUCAAAAUGAAAAGUUUAUAUUUCUUCAAACUGUGCAUGGCAUAAAAUCUUUCACAUUUUUUUCC